GUGACAUCUCAAAUAAAUGGAGGCUAAAGGAGAGUCUGAUGGCAUGAGGUAAGGAUUUCCAGGGAAAUGAGGCAGCCCUUGAAAAGGUUGGCAGUGAAGGAAUAAGCAGUACAAAGUCACUUGCAGAGAAGAGGGAAUAAGAAGAGGUAUAUGUCACUGGAGUCUUACCACAACACACAGGGAAGUGGAAAACCACAAAAGUUGGAUCCGAAAGACGUAUUACCGAGAGUUAGGCUGGCCGGACUUAACGUAUUAAUACAGCAAGA